GACGAACGCUGGCGGCGUGCUUAACACAUGCAAGUCGAACGGAAAGGCCCUGCUUUUGUGGGUUGCUCGAGUGGCGAACGGGUGAGUAACACGUGAGUAACCUGCCCUUGACUUUGGGGUAACUUCAGGAAACUGGGGCUAAUACCCGAUAGGAGCUCCUGCUGCAUGGUGGUGAUUGGAAAGUUGCGGCGGUUGGGGAUGGACUCGCGGCUUAUCAGCUUGUUGGUGGGGUAGUGGCUUACCAAGGAUUUGAAGGGUAGCCGGCCUGAGAGGGUGACCGGCCACAUUGGGACUGAGAAACGGGCCAGAGGGCUACGGGAGGAAGGAGUGGGGAAUAUUGCACAAUGGGCGGAAGCCGGAUGCAGCAACGCCGCGUGGGGGAUGACGGCCUUCGGGGUGGAAACCGCGUUCGCCUGUGACGAAGCGUGAGUGACGGUAAUGGGUAAAGAAGCACCGGCUAACAACGU
rnacentral:rRNA from 1 species